rnacentral:rRNA from 1 species
CCUACGGGAGACAGCAGUGAGGAAUAUUGGUCAAUGGGCGUAAGCCUGAACCAGCCAAGUCGCGUGAGGGAUGAAGGUUCUAUGGAUCGUAAACCUCUUUUAUAAGGGAAUAAAGUGUGGGACGUGUCCUAUUUUGUAUGUACCUUAUGAAUAAGGAUCGGCUAACUCCGUGCCAGCAGCCGCGGUAAUACGGAGGAUCCGAGCGUUAUCCGGAUUUAUUGGGUUUAAUGGGUGCGUAGGCGGCCUUUUAAGUCAGCGGUGAAAGUCUGUGGCUCAACCAUAGAAUUGCCGUUGAAACUGGGGGGCUUGAGUGUGUAUGCGGCAGGCGGAAUGCGUGGUGUAGCGGUGAAAUGCUUAGAUAUCACGCAGAACCCCGAUUGCGAAGGCAGCCUGCCAAGCCAUGACUGACGCUGAUGCACGAAAGCGUGGGGAUCAAACAGGAUUAGAUACCCUGGUAGUC